UUCCCCUUCCCCACUUUUCUAUUUUAUUCUCUGACCACGGCUAAGCUAAGGAGAUCGAUAAUGACAAAAAAGAGCGUGAGAAAAUCCAACCGCUUCUCUAUUCUCAUACAGAAGAGGUAAGCUUAUAUCUCUGUAUUUUAGGGCUUCUAGAUCUUUUUAUACCUACUUCACUUGAAUUUUUGGGUACAAUUUUGUAGAUUAUUCCAGCAAUUUGGUAGAUAUUGUAUCUUCUUUUUUACUCUUUGAUUGAGAACUUGAACACAAGAACAACAACAACAAUAACCCAGUAUAAUCUCACUUAGUGGGGUCUGGGGAGGGUAGUGUGUAUGCAGACCUUACCCCUAACCUUGGGUAGAGAGGCUGUUUCUCGAAGAACUUCCCACCUUACUCUUGGGGGACUCGAACUCACAACCCCUCAGUUGGAAGUGGGGUUGCUUACCAUCAGAGCAACCCCUCUUGUCUUGAACAGAAGAACAAUAUUACAAAAUUGGGAUGAAGAUAAUUUAAUGGCGUAACUGGUAAAGUUGCAUGACAAGAAGGUCAUGGGUUCGAGCCGUGAAAACAACCUCUUACAGAAAUGUAAGGUAAGGAUGCGUACGAUAGACCCUUGUGGUCCGGCCCUUCCCUGAACCGAUGCAUAGCGGGAGUUUGGUACACCGGACUUCUUUUUGGGACGAAGAUAAUUUAAGUUGUUUAAAAAGUGUUCAAAUUUUUCUUUUUUAGUUCAUUUGUUGCUUUGUAUUUUUUUUCAUUUUAUUAUAUGUUAGAAAUUCAUGUAAAAUAUUUAUCAAGGCAUGUUUGUUGUCUGCUUGAAAUUAUUCUAUUAAUGUUUUUACUAACUGAACUUAUAUCUUUGUGUUAAAGAUUGAAUUCAAUAGUAUCUGUUAAAAAUAUAUGAUCAAUUAUUUUUACUUCGUGGUGUUAAAAAUAAAUUUUUUUUUGACAGGCAGAUUGGUGGAAGUUAGAGCAAUGAGAAAUUAAAGAUCAAGAUAAGGUGAAGUUGAAGAUCUGAGGAGUGAAAGAAGAAACGGUAUCUCAA
rnacentral:lncRNA from 1 species